ACUCCUACGGGAGGCAGCAGUGGGGAAUUUUGCGCAAUGGGGGAAACCCUGACGCAGCAACGCCGCGUGAGUGAUGAAGGCCCUUGGGUCGUAAAGCUCUGACAGAGGGAAAGAAGUGUAGAGUGGCUAAUAUCCACAUUACUUGACGGUACCCUCAAAGGAAGCACCGGCUAACUCCGUGCCAGCAGCCGCGGUAAUACGGGGGGUGCAAGCGUUGUUCGGAUUUAUUGGGCGUAAAGCGCGUGUAGGCGGUUUUAUAAGUCUGAUGUGAAAGCCCUGGGCUCAACCCGGGAAGUGCAUUGGAUACUGUAAGACUUGAAUACGGGAGAGGGCAGUGGAAUUCCUAGUGUAGGAGUGAAAUCCGUAGAUAUUAGGAGGAACACCGGUGGCGAAGGCGGCUGCCUGGACCGAUAUUGACGCUGAGACGCGAAAGCGUGGGUAGCAAACAGGAUUAGAUACCCUGGUAGUCCACGCCGUAAACGAUGAGAACUAGGUGUUGCGGGU
rnacentral:rRNA from 1 species